rnacentral:rRNA from 1 species
AUUGAACGCUGGCGGAAUGCUUUACACAUGCAAGUCGAACGGCAGCACGGACUUCGGUCUGGUGGCGAGUGGCGAACGGGUGAGUAAUGUAUCGGAACGUGCCCAGUCGAGGGGGAUAACGUAGUGAAAAUUACGCUAAUACCGCAUACGAUCUAUGGAUGAAAGCGGGGGAUCGCAAGACCGCGCGCGAUUGGAGCGGCCGAUAUCAGAUUAGGUAGUUGGUGUGGUAAAGGACCACCAAGCCAACGAUCUGGAGCUGGUCUGAGCGGACGACCAGCCACACUGGAACUGAGACGCGGGCCAGACUCCUACGGGAGGCAGCAGUGGGGAAUUUUGGACAAUGGGCGAAAGCCUGAUCCAGCCAUUCCGCGUGCAGGAUGAAGGCCCUCGGGUUGUAAACUGCUUUUGUACAGAACGAAAAGGUUUCUACUAAUACUAGGAGCUCAUGACGGUACUGUAAGAAUAAGCACCGGCUAACUACGUGCCAGCAGCCGCAGUAA